rnacentral:rRNA from 1 species
AAACUGGAGAGUUUGAUUCUGGCUCAGAACGAACGCUGGCGGAGUGCUUAAGACAUGCAAGUCGUACGAGAAAGCCGACUUCGGUUGGUGAGUAAAGUGGCGCACGGGUGAGUAACGCGUGGGUAAUCUGCCUUCGAGUCUGGGACAACUCCGGGAAACUGGAGCUAAUACCGGAUGAGACCACAGGGCCUUCGGGUCCAGUGGGAAAAGAUGGCCUCUUCUUGAAAGCUAUCGCUCGGAGAUGAGCCCGCGUCGCAUUAGUUUGUUGGUGGGGUAACGGCU